UCCCUCAAGUAGAGUGGCGAACGGGUGAGUAACGCGUGAAGAACCUGCCUUCAACAGGGGGAUAACACUCCCAACGGGGUGCUAAUACCGCAUGAGAUCACGGGUCCGCAUGGGCCUGAGGUCAAAGGUGGCCUCUGCUUGCAAGCUACCGGUUGAGGAUGGCUUCGCGUCCCAUUAGCUAGUUGGCGGUGUAAAAGACCACCAAGGCGACGAUGGGUAGCUGGUCUGAGAGGAUGGUCAGCCACACUGGGACUGAGAUACGGCCCAGACUCCUACGGGAGGCAGCAGUCGAGAGGCUUUGGCAAUGGGGGAAACCCUGACCAAGCGACGCCGCGUGGAGGAUGAAGGCCCCUGGGUUGUAAACUCCUUUUGCUGGGGAAGAAACACGAUCAGGUGAACAAUCUGGUCGUUUGACGGUACCCGGCGAAUAAGCUCCGGCUAACUCCGUGCCAGCAGCCGCGGUAACACGGGGGGAGCAAGCGUUGUUCGGAAUCACUGGGCGUAAAGGGCGUGUAGGCGGUCAAGUAAGUGGGAUGUGAAACGCCCCGGCUCACCCGGGGACCUGCAUCCCAAACGGCUUGGCUCGAGUAUGGGAGAGGAUGAGGGAAUUCCUGGUGUAGCGGUGAAAUGCGUAGAUAUCAGGAGGAACACCGGUGGCGAAAGCGCUCAUCUGGCCCAAUACCGACGCUGAGGCGCGAAAGCUAGGGGAGCAAACGGGAUUAGAUACCCCGGUAGUCCUAGCCGUAAACGGUGAUCACUAGGUGUUGGAGGCAUCGACCCCUCCAGUGCCGCAGCUAACGCAUUAAGUGAUCCGCCUGGGGAGUACGGCCGCAAGGUUGAAACUCAAAGGAAUUGACGGGGGCUCACACAAGCGGUGG
rnacentral:rRNA from 1 species